rnacentral:rRNA from 1 species
GAUGAACGCUGGCGGCGUGCCUAAUACAUGCAAGUCGAGCGAACAGACGAGGGGCUUGCUCCUCUGACGUUAGCGGCGGACGGGUGAGUAACACGUGGAUAACCUACCUAUAAGACUGGGAUAACUUCGGGAAACCGGAGCUAAUACCGGAUAAUAUAUUGAACCGCAUGGUUCAAUAGUGAAAUACGGUUUUGCUGUCACUUAUAGAUGGAUCCGCGCCGCAUUAGCUAGUUGGUAAGGUAACGGCUUACCAAGGCGACGAUGCGUAGCCGACCUGAGAGGGUGAUCGGCCACACUGGAACUGAGACACGGUCCAGACUCCUACGGGAGGCAGCAGUAGGGAAUCUUCCGCAAUGGGCGAAAGCCUGACGGAGCAACGCCGCGUGAGUGAUGAAGGUCUUCGGAUCGUAAAACUCUGUUAUUAGGGAAGAACAAAUGUGUAAGUAACUAUGCACGUCUUGACGGUACCUAAUCAGAAAGCCACGGCUAACUACGUG